rnacentral:rRNA from 1 species
ACUCAAAUGAAUUGACGGGGACUCGCACAAGUGGUGGAUUAUGUGGCUCAAUUCGUCGGCAAACGAAGAACCUUACCAAGGUUAGAAAUCCAGCUGCACGCCCUCCGAAAGGAGGGAAGCCUUCGAGGGUGCUGGACAGGUGAUGCAUGGUCGUCGUCAGUUCGUGGUUUGAACUGUUCCCUUCAGUGGGGUAACGAACGCAACCCCCGUUGCCUGUUGCCUAUAUGGUCAGGCGAGACUGCUCCCUCACGGGAGAGGAAGGUGGGGAUGACGCCAGAUCAGCAUGUCCCUCUGAUACCUUGGGCCGCACACAUAAUACAAUGGUAGGUCACAACGGGAUGCAAUACCGCAAGGUGGAGCCAAUCCUUCAAAACCUACCUCAGUACGGAUUGAGGUCUGCAACCGACCUCAUGAAGCUGGAAUCACUAGUAAUCCUGGGUCAGCUAAACCAGGGUGAAUACGUUCUCGAGUCUUGUACACACCGCCCGU